CCCCAUGGCAAGAAGCUUGGGAGGAGCAGUUAUGAGGCCACAGUCUCAAGGGAAGUUUUAUUCGUCUCUCAGAGGCUAUUGUGACCUCAUGUUAACCUCAUACUGCUGGGCUUGAUGCCUCAGGUGUUUUGUGUAACGGAGCCUGGUUUUGAUAAGAAUGGACCCAGCUCCCCGUGGCCCUACCCAAUUUGAACUGAGAAAUUUUUUUUUAAGUUUUUUCUGCUUUAUUCAUGAAGAAAAAGUGGGAUGUUUUCAAAAAUGACCACGUGCAAUUUCAAAUGCUACCCUACAUCCUUGAGCCAUACAAAGUCUUGGGGCCAAUUUCCUUGAGAGGCUCUGCUAGACCUGAACUGGUACAUGAAGGUAGUGAUGGACUGGAUGAAGGAAAAUAAACUGAAGCUGAAUCCUGACUAGACAGAGAACAGUUUUCAGGCCUGGGAAUUAGGAAGACGGCCUACUGCAGAUGGGGAAAUACUCCCCCUGAAGGAGCAAGUCCUUGGCCUAAAGACACUGGAAGGUGCCCCUCAAAUCAUGAAAGUUCCAGAGGAAGAAUUCUCUGACAAGUCCUUGUGUUUUGUUUGGAGAGAGGUGCCUGUUGGUUUCAAAGUAGUGCACUGUACUGACUCUACUUCUUGCUAACUGGACCAAGCUGAGCAUGAAGUCCUGUUUCUGAGCCAUCUGCCAGCACCUCAGCAUCACUGGAGGGGUCCCAAGAGUGCCUAUCCACUCCAGCACUUGGAAAAGUAAGGUGAUGCUGCACAAGGCACAACUCUCAGGUGAACUCCUAGUCAUUGGAAGGAACUAGAUCAUAGUGCACUUUAUUGCAAGGCACAUAGAUCUACCAGCCUGCAAUAAUGCUGCCCCUGCUCCAGUUUUUUGCCACCUUAUAUCCAAGUAGCAGUCAUGCAUGACAAUGCUGAUCUUCCCUGCAGCGUCUGGUGAGCAGAUGGAAUGGUCAGCAACUCAAAAUGUGAAAUACUGAAAAGGUCAAAAUCCAACAGCCUGCUGCUGUCGGUUUCAUCUGUGAUCUCUUGUUCUUGUAUCAAAAGUCAUCAUAAGGACAGUAAUGAGAACAUCAUAAAUCUAGUUCUCUCAUCUAGGGGCCGAUGGCAAAGGAUGAGUGAGUUCACAGUGAUAAAGAAACUGAACCUGCUGCAGUUCUUCAUGAGAAGGAGGAUUACUCGCAUAAGCACAACCUGGCAGGAUCAGACAGUGGUGCAUCCAUUGCAAUAUUUUUAACUGAUAAUGGCUAGAUCCAAUUGCUUAAGGACAUUUUAAAAAUAUGAAUUUUAACAUUCAUUUCCCAGGCUGAUCUCAAGAUGGCAUUAGGAAUACUCUAGUCCCAAUGAAAAGCAAAUUGUAUUUACAUUUCAUUGAGAUUCUGUUUAACACAUAUUCAUGUAGAC